UACGAAGGGGGCUAGCGUUGUUCGGAAUUACUGGGCGUAAAGCGCGCGCAGGCGGCUAUCCAAGUCAGUGGUGAAAGCCCGGAGCUCAACUCCGGAACUGCCAUUGAAACUGUUUAGCUGGAGUAUGAGAGAGGUGAGUGGAAUUCCCAGUGUAGUGGUGAAAUGCGUAGAGAUCGGGAAGAACACCCGUGGCGAAGGCGGCCGGCUGGGCCGACCCUGACACUGAGGCGCGAAGGCGUGGGGAGCGAACGGG
rnacentral:rRNA from 1 species